GCAAUUCGUAUCGUCGCCGGAAAAAGAGAAAAAAAGGACCGUGCACUACAGAUUAAGUUUGCACCAAAAAUAAUAUUUAAGAAGUAUUCAACAGCUAAAAAUAACAUCCUAUUUAGAUUCUACACAUUUUUUUAAUCAAAUUUCAUAUAUAACAUGUUAAAAUCGGAGUUACGGUUUAAAAGAUAUGGAUAAUUUUGUUUUAGAUAAAAUGUGGAUUGAUUAACUGAAAAGUUAGGAUUUUUUUGUUAAAAUACGGAGGGCGGGUUGAUUACCUGAAACAUCAGGGGAUUUUCGAAAAAAUACAAAAAAAUGAUUCGUUUUCUGACUUAAAUCCGGGCUGCAGGUUGAUUACC
rnacentral:lncRNA from 1 species